AUUGAACGCUGGCGGCAGGCCUAACACAUGCAAGUCGAGCGGAUGAAGGGAGCUUGCUCCUGGAUUCAGCGGCGGACGGGUGAGUAAUGCCUAGGAAUCUGCCUGGUAGUGGGGGAUAACGUCCGGAAACGGGCGCUAAUACCGCAUACGUCCUGAUGGAGCAAGUGGGGGAUCUUCGGACCUCACGCUAUCAUAUGAGUCUAGGUCGGAUUAGCUAGUUGGUGGGGUAAAUGCCUACCUAGGCGACGAUCCGUAACUGGUCUGAGAGGAUGAUCAGUCACACUGGAGCUGAGACACGGUCCAGACUACUGCGGGAGGCAGCAGUCGGGAAUGGUGGACAAUGGGCGAAAGUCUGAUCCAGCCAUGCCGCGUGUGUGAAGAAGGUCUUCGGAUUGUAAAGCACUUUAAGUUGGGAGGAAGGGCAGUAAGUUAAUACCUUGCUGUUUUGACGUUACCGGCAGAAUAAGCACCGGCUAACUUCGUG
rnacentral:rRNA from 1 species